rnacentral:rRNA from 1 species
UACGUAGGGGGCUAGCGUUGUCCGGAAUCAUUGGGCGUAAAGAGCGUGUAGGCGGCCCGGUAAGUCCGCUGUAAAAGUCAAAGGCUCAACCUUUGAAUGUCAGUGGAUACUGCCGGGCUAGAGUCCGGAAGAGGCGAGUGGAACUCCUGGUGUAGCGGUGGAAUGCGCAGAUAUCAGGAAGAACACCAACGGCGAAGGCAGCUCGCUGGGACGGUAUUGACGCUGAGACGCGAAAGCGUGGGGGAGCGAACAGG